rnacentral:rRNA from 1 species
AAAACAUAGCCCUAAGAACUUAUUUAGGGUGAAACCUGCUCAAUGAACAAAUUUAAAUUGCCGCGGUACCUUGACCGUGCUAAGGUAGCAUAAUCAGUUGACUUUUAAAUGAAGUCUGGAAUGAAUGGAACUACGGGAUUAAGCUGUCUCACUACUUUACUUUUGAAGUUACUAAUUAGGUGAAAAGGCCUAAAAAUAAUAAAAGACGAGAAGACCCUUAGAGUUUUAAUAAGUUUUUGUUGGGGCGACAAGUAAUCAUUUAACAUCACUAGAGCUAUGUGACGGAAUUUUCAUGAAUAAAUAAACUACCUGAGGGAUAACAGCAUAAUCUUUUUAGGUUUGUGACCUCGAUGUUGGACUAGGAAGCCUGUAGGCUAGCCGCUUACAAGGGGGAUUCUGUUCGAAUCUUUACUCCUACGUGAUC